rnacentral:lncRNA from 10 species
GAAUAUAAUCUCUGCUUGCUACAUAGUGGAAAAGAGAUAAAUAAUUACAAAAUAUCAUUUUGGAAAUAAAAACAACCAGCUGCUGCGUUACCACAUAAAAAAGCUGCAGAAGGGGAGUGAUCAGGGAAAGGCAUCCCUGAAGUGAUGAUACAAGAGAUGUAAAGAUGAGGAGUUGGCUCUACAAAGACUGGGAGAAAAGGGUUCCUGGAAGAGCAGCCAGCACAGAAAAACUCUCAAGAAAGAAAGAGCUUAGUUCAUUUGAGAAGCUAAAAGGAGGGCUAUAAGGCUGAGCUAUAUUUACUGAUGGGGUGAGGAUAACGUUGGACAGUAAGGAGGUACCUGGUCAUACAGGACUUUGUAGGACAAACUAAGGAUAAUGAGAAUGGUACGCUAAGAAAGCAUCCAGGCUGAACAGAUGGCAGGAGUACAAGAAGCUCAAGGGAACAAAGGAAUGAUUAGAAAACUCUGGUGUCAUUUUGAGCUCUCCAGGAAGCAAACACACCAUCAUGGAAUCAGAAAUGCAAGAGAUCUGUUGCAGAGAAAUCCCAUGAAAAGGAAAGCAGAGAUGAAGCAAGAGUAGUCAGGGAAAUCCUUCAGACCAUGACACAGAUCUGACAUCUGUGAAAGGAGAGGGGCAAAUGAAGAAGGAUUGAAAAGGAAGAGCCCGAGGUAGCAGUGCACCUGUGAGAGUCUCAGGCCAGUGCAGGAAGGCAGAGCAAAGCAGCCUGUGAGGGAGUCCCAUGUAGGCAGCAAUGAUCGGUUUGCAUGCUCUUCCUGAGCUCAGCCACUGGCUGGAGAUGGCCCAUGCAGAGCAGAGCUUCAGCAUGAACACUGCCACGGAUCCUGAAGAUCAGUAAAAGGACCAGAGGAACAGAGAAAACUUGAUCACCAUAAUCAAAGAGAAGGACAAUGCUUUCCAGAUAUACCACUCCACCUCCCUGCAGUCAGGGUGAGACCAUGUGACUAACUCGAGCUGGUGAAAUCUGAAAGCACACGACUUGAAUCUCUACAGGUCAAGGAAGGUACAAACCAGUGUAUCUCCUCCAGCCCUCCCUCAGCUGAAGCAACCUCAGAGGCCACAUGUGUCAGAUGUUCUAUUUGGUAUAGCUGCAAGAUCGAGGUGGUUCAUCCAAUUACCAUCACACUUUUCCUGAGGGAGAAAGAAACCUCUGUUGUGUUAAACCACUGACAUUAUCAGGGUUUCCCUGCUAUGGCAGCUACAGUUAACUAACCCAACUAGUGCAUGGGGAUAAUAGUUUCUGUCAUACUACUUUAGAUUAUUGUAAGACUAAAAGAAGAAUAUUGAAAUAAAUAUUUGUUAACCUUAUCUUUACAUGGAUCUAUGUAAGCCUUUAUAUAAGCCUUUACAUAGGCUUAUGAUUGUUAUUACACACAUUUUUAAAAUCUGACUUUAUUACUCUGAGUUUUUUAUAGUGUAAUGAUAAUGUAAAAAUUGUUUUAAUUAUCUUAACAAUUAUUUGUAAAAGAAAGUAUGCUUCUGA